UUGAUUUAGCAGCAGAUAUAUUAAAAAAUUUGAAACUAUACAGAGAAGAUUAGCAUGGCCCAUGCACAAGGAUGACACACAUUAUUGAAGCAUUCCGUAUUUUG